rnacentral:rRNA from 1 species
CGCGUAGGCGGUUCGCUAAGUUGGAUGUGAAAACUCUGGGCUCAACCCAGAGCCUGCAUCCAAAACUGGCGGGCUAGAGUUCUGGAGGGGGUAGCGGAAUUCCUGGUGUAGCGGUGAAAUGCGUAGAUAUCAGGAGGAACACCGGUGGCGAAGGCGGCUACCUGGACAGAAACUGACGCUGAGGCGCGAAAGCUAGGGGAGCAAACAGGAUUAGAUACCCUGGUAGUCCUAGCCCUAAACGAUGGAUACUUGGUGUGACUGGGAUUGAAUCCAGUCGUGCCGAAGCUAACGCAUUAAGUAUCCCGCCUGGGGAGUACGGUCGCAAGGCUGAA